rnacentral:rRNA from 1 species
UCGCGGUUAUACUUAGUGGCUAGGGUAUCCGGAAUUUUGGAGUAAGGGGGCCACGGGGUUUAUUAGUUUGAUGGAAAGCCUCGGCUCAACGUGGAGGGUCAUUGAAAGUGGAGACUGAGUGCAGAAGAGGAAUGUGAACUGCAUGUGUAACGGUGAAAUCGUAGAGAUAUGAGGAUCACCAGUGAGAAGAUGACUUUGUGGUCUGUAAUUACAGUGAGGCGCGAAAGCGUGGGAGCAAACAGGAGUAGAUACCCUGGUAGUGCACGCUGUAAACGAUGAGUGUUAAGUGAUAGAGGGUUUCCGCCCUUUAGUGCUGAAGUUUUGCAUUAAGCACUCCGCUUGGGGAGUACGGCCGCAAGGCUGAAACUCAAAGGAAUUGACGGGGGCCCGCACAAGCGGUGGAGCAUGUGGUUUAAUUCGAAGCAACGCGAAGAACCUUACCAGGUCUUGACAUCCUCUGAAAACCCUAGAGAUAGGGCUUAUCCUUCGGGAGCAGAGUGACAGGUGGUGCAUGGUUGUCGUCAGCUCGUGUCGUGAGAUGUUGGGUUAAGUCCCGCAACGAGCGCAACCCUUGAUCUUAGUUGCCAUCAUUAAGUUGGGCACUCUAAGGUGACUGCCGGUGACAAACCGGAGGAAGGUGGGGAUGACGUCAAAUCAUCAUGCCCCUUAUGACCUGGGGUACACACGUGCUACAAUGGACGGUACAAAGAGCUGCAAGACCGCGAGGUGGAGCUAAUCUCAUAAAACCGUUCUCAGUUCGGAUGUAGGCUGCAACUCGCCUACAUGAAGCUGGAUAAAUAAAAUGGCGAAAAGCAGAAGCGAACCUGAUGGCUUAGGGUGCCA